CACAUACAUCGGUACGACUCUGCACCCUGGAUACAGUCAUCGCAGCACCUGUUUGCUCUCUGGUACAAAAUUAUACCACGAGCAACCAGCUAAGGAUGACUUAGAAAACACUGAUUGCAAGUUAGAUUCUGCGAAAACAGUGACAUUCUGGAUCAUUUUAUGCGGCGCUGUGGAAUGUCACCCAGAGGAUGAUGUUCCUAUGCACGAACACGGUACGGAUAGACAGCGUCGAUUGUAUAUAAGCUAUGGCGUUCCAAUUGAGUGGGAGCUGCGAGGAAUCUAUGAAAAGCACAAAGGAAACAAAGGAAAGACUUGGGCCACCCAGUCGACCGCGAUUAAGGGUCGACGCCGCCUGACACGACGCCUUGCCGUUUAUUUUUCACAAAGCGUGAUUCACGCGUGCGGCGCCGACGCCACGUCGGCUGUUAUCUUUUUGUGUCAUUUCUCUUGCCACAUCCGUGAUCCUCACGGCUUACCGCCCUAUGCGUAUAUCUUUUUUUGUCGUUCAUUUUAUAUUCACGCCGUUUCUUCUGCGAUCUUCACGACACCACAGUGAUAUCUAUUAAUCCGUCAGCUGAAUGAUUCCUGAUACGGUAUUAACGUGGGUAUUACGUAGGUAUUAACGUGAACGCUGCGACGCCUUGCAGUCCGCUGAACACAUUUUCUAUAAGUCAAGAAGUUCGUUCUGCUAACUCAGCACACCCGUUGUAUCUCGGAACUUAUGUCUUAUACUUGCCGUCAGUGUGUAGAAAGCACAAGUCUGUAACGGCGGCAAAUUUAAAGGUGGGAAGGGUCAUGGCUCACACCCACGUUAUCCAGGUGUUCAAGAUUAAUAGAGACGGAGCCAAUCAGCUGCUGGAUUAUAAACACGCAUUGGAAUCGAGGAUAAAAUCCCAGUAUACCACAAUUGGAUAUGAUUGGACCUUGUUCUCUGAUGAUUUUAUGCCAUACCUGCGAGAGACAGCACUGUGGUUUGUAAAUGAAAAAUAUAUAUCGGACGGCUGGAUUGAAAUUUGGAUUUGAGGCUUGACUUUUGAAAAAUUUACAACCAAGACUCGAUGCGUGUUAUACGGAUCGGGCGGUUCCUUCAAAAAUAAAUGGAAGCCUCGUGAUUGGCCCUCAGGUACGAGCCUCUCGUUGGGGUGGCGAUAAACUUCCACGAGAUCCGAUUGGUUGUACAAUAAUACUACACUCUUGCAACAUUCGCUGUUUACGAGGCGAGACGAAGGUUCAGGCUAAAAGGGUCAGUGAGCCAGGGUCGUCGAUUAAACUGUACACUGCUAUGUAAAAUAGCGUGCAACCUGCGCCAUAGUUGUACAAGUUACCAU